GCUCAGAUUGAACGCUGGCGGCAUGCUUUACACAUGCAAGUCGAACGGCAGCGCGGGGCAACCUGGYGGCGAGUGGCGAACGGGUGAGUAAUAUAUCGGAACGUACCCAGAAGUGGGGGAUAACGUAGCGAAAGUUACGCUAAUACCGCAUACGAUCUACGGAUGAAAGUGGGGGACCUUCGGGCCUCAUGCUUUUGGAGCGGCCGAUAUCUGAUUAGCUAGUUGGUGAGGUAAAGGCUCACCAAGGCGACGAUCAGUAGCUGGUCUGAGAGGACGACCAGCCACACUGGGACUGAGACACGGCCCAGACUCCUACGGGAGGCAGCAGUGGGGAAUUUUGGACAAUGGGCGCAAGCCUGAUCCAGCAAUGCCGCGUGAGUGAAGAAGGCCUUCGGGUUGUAAAGCUCUUUUGUCAGGGA
rnacentral:rRNA from 1 species